rnacentral:lncRNA from 1 species
CAUGAUUUGUCAAGCCCGUCUAUUUGAUCAACCAUUUUAGUUUAUCUCCUAACAUACAAAAAAAGAUACCUCUUAAAAAUCAAUAUUUAAAUGAAAAAGGUAUUAAAAUAAGUAUUCAAAAAACUUAUACAAAAAUAACUAACUCUAACUAAACGUUUUUAAAUAAUAUAAAAUCUAACAUAAUAUAACAGAGAGUUCUAAAUAAACAUUUAUUUAAAAUAUUUAUUAACAUCAAAUCAUGAAAACAAGGUUGAUCUAAGAAUCUAUGAUAAAAACAACAAAUCAAACCAUCAAAAAAAUCAAUCAUGACAAUAAAUAAAUAAAACCCUAAUAAAAUACAGAACGAUAAAAUAUAGAACGGAACCAUGAUCGAAGGAAUGAAAAAAACAAAUACCUCUAAGAUGUUUAUCCCUCCAAGCUGUCUAUCCGUUCCGUAUACCUAGAGAUCUGUAAUGUCUUUGGCCUGGUCAUGUAAGACAGUACAUCAAAGUUAUGUUGAUAUCCAAAAUGUUAGUAAAAAAUCAAGCAUUCAUAAAAAAUCAAGACUGUAACAUGAUCGAAAGAUGAUAAAUGGUGAGUAUAUUAAUAAAUUGCAUCAGUAUUCAGUUUUUAUAAGAUGAAGAUUCAUCAAAAACAUAGUUAUUCUGUAUUCUGUUGUUUCAUAAAAAAUUAGUAUUUGCAAGGUUGUUAUUUGUUUAGAUGUCAUUGCAAAUGAUCUUUUUAUUGCAGAUUUUCAUGGAAAUAGAAGCAUUGGAGGAAAAAAACCAAAGUAUAUUGUCGAUGAAGGACCUUCCCUAACUAAGUUGUCGGGCUAUAACCCUAAAAGGCAGGAGUUUGAUCCUGAAUAUUAUAAUGAUGCAGAACAAUUGCUUGCAGAUAUGGAAUUAAAGGAAACUGAUUGUGAAAUUGAAAGGAAUGUUAAAUUGGAGUACUGCAGAUUUAUGCAUCUAGGUAAAUUGACGUGAUCAUUUUUUUACUAGCAUAUCAGAACCUCUGUAUAUUUUAUUACUUUUAUCAUCUAGAUUUUUAUUUUGUAAUUUUUAUGUCUAUGAUUUGGUUAUUUCUGUAUUCAAAUGAGAUGUGUUUUAUCAUUGAAAUACAAAAAUAAUGUACUGAUGUGAUGAUAAUUUUGCAGGCUUGAUGAAAGGAAGCUGUUGGUGUGUGUGCUCGCCGGUGUAAGCCCACAACCUCAACUCUCCCAAGUGUUCACUCUCUCAGAAUUGUCAACCCCUCCCCCAGUUGGAACAGGGGAGGUAUUUAUAGCCUUCACUUGUUGUCAUUGGGCCUCGUGGGUUCGUACGGUGAUCGGCCCCGUCCGUUCGUCCGCCCGCCCAUCCGUCCGUCUGGGCCGGCUGGUCCGGUUCGGUCCAUGGGCCGCGGUCCGCGGUCCAUGGUACCAACAGUACUCCCCCCUUCCUUAGCAGGCCCGGGGGCCGUCCACCCCCCUUUCGACCCCCACCUACUCUCAUUAAAGCUCCUCGGUUCUCGGGCCCCUCCUUCUUUGCUUCUCUAUAAAUAGGCUGCUUGAGAGCCUUAUUUUCCGCAUCCCCUCUCUUUUCCGCUAUGAGUGCUCGAGACAUCCUUGAGGAGUAUGGUCGUGAAGUGCAAGCUCAACAUGCUACCUGGGCCCUGUGCCUGCUGUCGCCUACUGGUGUCCCCAACAGUGUCGCCGUGGCCGAGACUCAGCGCCUUAACGCCGUGCUGAUCGACGUCCACCGUCGCCUCAACCGGAUUCGCUGCAACGACAUUGUCGCGGAGCUUCCCCUCGUCACCUAUCCUGACACGUCGGGUUCUGCUGGAACUUCGCGUGCUUCCCGCGCGCAAGGUACGACCGUCGCUCCCGCUGCUGUCGCUGAUCCAACGCCCCUUCCGAGGCGCCGCCGGCCGCGAGGUCCUCGUCGUUCCCGCGGGUCUUCGUCCCUUCCGGCCUAUGACCUGCGCCACUUUCUGUCGGGAUCCUCGAAGCCAGCCCCUUAAGUUCGUCCGGGGGACGUCCGCGACCGCGACCACGCUCAUCCGGGCCGUGGGUCCGCCUCCAUGGGACGACGUCUGGGGCGCGCCUCGUUCAACUUCUCUCCUAUUUCUUUUUUGUAUCCAGACUUAGCUAUUGUUGUGCGUUGUAUACUUUUUCCCGCCGUGCCACCGGCCGCUUGUAACACUUGGUUUAAUUUAAUGAAAAAUGCCUUUGCUUCUUUUUUUCUUUCGCUUUAAUUGUCUUCGCACGUCCGUGCAGAUUCGCGCAUCUCGGCGUCUUCUGUCGACGUUGCCCGCAUCCUUCUCGAGCUCUGCUCCCGNNNNNNNNNNNNNNNNNNNNNNNNNNNNNNNNNNNNNNNNNNNNNNNNNNNNNNNNNNNNNNNNNNNNNNNNNNNNNNNNNNNNNNNNNNNNNNNNNNNNNNNNNNNNNNGCAUCGUUCGGUCGCUGGACCCCGCCGAGCUUACCACGGCCGCCGCGCCCCCGCUCCGCCGACCGCGUCGGUCCCUGAUCUUCACCCUUGCCCCCGACGGGCCGGUUCUUGGGCUCCCUCGGGAGCCUCCCGGCCCAUCCGAUUCUGACCAAUCCGGGUACGCGACGCUUCGUCUUCCGUGCCCUCCUUAACCCCUAUAUAAAUCCCCAUUCGCUUCUCGCGACUGACUUCCUUCCCUCUCUUUUAUUCUCUCCCACCUUCUCUCCCAGGUUGCUGAUGGCCUCCGCUUCCUCCUCCGGCCGCGACGGCGCACGAACUCCGGCGAGCAAAAUGAUUUCGACGCUCUUCGUCGCUCCCUCCCCCAAGGACCCUCAAUCCACCGUCGGGGUCGAUGUGAUCCGGGAGGCGCUGGCGAAGAUGGGCCAGCCCGACCUGGCCUUCACUGUUGCUGGCGAGCGUCUUGCCUCCGAUCCGCCGCCGGGCCUGGUCGCCCUUUACACGCCCUUUGCCGAUGCCGGUCUCGUUCUUCCGCUUCCGUCUUUGGUGGCCGAAGCGAUGUCUUACUGCGGCGUGACCAUUUCUCAGUUUCCUCCGGCGGCCAUCGACCGCUUGGUGAUCUUCGACCUUCUCUCGCGUCGCGCCGGCUGCCAGGUCUCUCUACCGGUCUUCCUGACGUGGUUCACGAUGACCUCAAUGACCACCGAUCCUCGUCGUGUGUUAGUCGCUCAGCGAUCCACCGGCGCCCUCUUCGACGGGCUGGUCGACCGGUCUCAUCACUGGCGGGACCGCUUCUUCUUCGUCCCCGUCAGUGCCCUUGGAACGUCGGACUCGGGCGUAUGUUUCCCCACGCGCUGGACUAUGCUGUCGUCCCUGAGGCGGGCCGCCGCUCCUUCCCGAGACAGCUUGGAUCCCGUGGCCGCCCUUGCUCAAGACGUUCUCGUCGAGGUUUAUCGCCACGGGCCCGUCAACGCCCGGACGCUGGCCACCUGGUCCUACGAGGACCAUCUGAAUUUGCCCGUGAAGGCGCCUUACUUUCGGGACGGCCCGCCGUCUAAACGUAACAAGAAGAGGCAAGCCGACGAAGUUCACUUCGAGACUCCCCUUAACGCGUCUCCCAUCCAUACUCUCGAGGUCGGCGCUCCGGACUCCCAUCGUGCUGCUUCCUCUGCUCCUGGUGCCCCGGAUGCCCCCCUUCGAGACAGCCGGUCCGACCGACGGCAAAGGAAAAAAACUCGGGCUGAGAAACGAAAGUCGGUCGCCGCCUCCUUGGUGAAGGAUUCGGUCCAAGUUGAGGACUUGGACGCUUCUGAGAACAGCCUUAGUGCCAGCCACUCUAACAUUCCGUCCGACGGGGCCUUCGACCGCUUCUUUGCGUCCUCGUCCGAAGGCGGGCAUUUUGAAGACGGGCACCUCAAGGCUGUCAUGAAGGAUCUUCAGAAGACGCUCGACGGCUGUACCGCCCCCAUCGAUCCCGUGACCCUUCUGCCGCGCCUUGGCGGGAUCUUUAAGCAAAAGCUCGCGGAUGCUCGUUCUCUGAUGACGCCCGAAGCUGAGUAUGCCCAACUGCGCGCCCGUCCCCUUUCGGCCGUCAACCUCGAUCUGCACCAUCUUCUGCUGCAGCUUUCUGUCCUCUCCCAGGUUCGGCUGGAAAGGGGCGCCGAACUGGACGGGGAGCUUCAGCGCCAAAAGACCGACCUUGCCGUCGCAGAAGCCGACCUUGCCGCUGCGAGGGUCACCAUUGAAGCCACAAAGACCGAGUUGGACGCCGUCAAGCGCGAGCGCGACCUUCUAGCUGACGACUUGUGCCGUGCUAAGGAGGAAGAGAAGGUUCGGGCAGACGCCGCGCAGGCCGCUUUUAUCGAGGAAUUUGUUCCUGAAUUCAAGAGUCGCUUGGCCGAUAUGCAAAAGGAUCACGCCGUCUUGCUAGGCGAUUCCAAGCGCCUCGGCUUCUGGAAGGGUUACGUGCACGGGCGCGAGAUGGGCUCGCUUGUUUACUCGCCCCUUUCGCGCGCCGUGGUGCCUCGGAGCNNNNNNNNNNNNNNNNNNNNNNNNNNNNNNNNNNNNNNNNNNNNNNNNNNNNNNNNNNNNNNNNNNNNNNNNNNNNNNNNNNNNNNNNNNNNNNNNNNNNCGUGGACGUGAGCGACAGCGAGGAGCAGGACCUUGAGGCUGACUUCCCCGACUACGUGGACCCUCCCCUUGACUAGUCGGCCCGUAGCGGAUGUUUUUUUUUCUUUUUUCGUACGGGAAGAACAAUUAUCCCUGCAUUGUAAUAAUACUUAACUUUUUUCCUGCUUUUUUACUUGCUUGUUUUCUCUCGCUUUUGGCUCGGCCGUCGAUCCGCUUGCCUUGGCUCGGCCGUCGAUCGUUUUCCUCUUCCUUUCGCUUUCGUUUCCCUACUUAACUUUCGCUUUCGCCCUCUCUCUUCCUUCAAUCGUUUUUUUCUUAGAGAAGCGGCCUGGGCCCUUCGGACGUUCCCGUGUGGCCUUUCGGCCCCGGGGACCUUCCGUUGGCCUUUUCGGCGGGCUUCUCCAGUUUUCGUUUGCUCGGGGAAGCGGCCCGGGCCGUGCGGAUUGUCUCGCGUGGUCGUCCGACCUUGAGACUUCUCCGCCAACCUUUUCGGCGGGCUUCUCCAGCUUUUGCUUACUUGGGGGAGCGGCCUGGGCCGUGCGGAUUGUCUCAUGUGGUCGUCCGACCUCAAGACUUCUCCGCCGGCCUUUUCGGCGGGCUGCCCCUUUUCCUUUACAAUAAUAUUUUUAAUGGGUGCACUCCGGGUGCUUUUUAUUGGGCAUCAUGUGCCGUGGUCAGGGGACGCCCGACGUAGAAAUCAGAUACAAUAGUGAUAGUAUUGCUCCGCGUACGCCUCGCCUCACCGCCUAUACUUUUCCAAGUUGUCGGCAUGCCACGUUCUCUCUAUCUCCUGCCCGUCCUCGUACCCCAGGCGAAAGAUGCCGGGCUGGAUUUCGUCCGUGAUGACGUACGGGCCCUCCCAUCUUGGUGAUAAUUUCCCCUUCGUCUGAUCGACUCCCGUUACCUUGGCAUUUCUCAACACCAAGUCUCCUGGCGCUAAGUUUUUGUCGGCCACUCUUUCGUUGUGGUACCUUGCCACCCUUCGCUUGUAAGUGAGAUCCCUGAUGGACGCCUCCUCUCUCCGGCCCUCCAAGUACUCCCUUUCUAAGAACAUGGCCUGGUCGUUCGUGCCCGGUUGGAACUGCUCGAUACGCACGGUUGGCCACACCAACUCUGCUGGCGCCACCGCCUCCAUCCCGAAUGCGAGGGCGAAAGGUGUUUGACCCGUGGGCGUUCGGAUGGUCGUGCGGUACGCCCACAUGGUUUCCGGGACUAGGUCCGCCCAGUUUCCCGGGUGUUCGCCCACCUUCCUUUUCAGGAUCGACGUUAUUGUUCGGUUCGUCACCUCUACCUGCCCGUUAGCCUGCGGGUGGUAGACUGGUGCGAAGCUUAGCUUGAUCCCGCUGUCUUCGCAGAAUUCUCUCAACUUCUUUCCCGUGAACUGUGUCCCGUUGUCCGUUAUUAUCUGGAUCGGGACCCCAAAACGGCAGACGAUGUUCCUGAAGACAAAGUUCAGCACAUUCUGUUCGCUGAUCGUGUUCGUAGCCUCCGCUUCGACCCACUUUGUGAAGUAGUCGACCGCUACGAACAGGAACUUCCUCCCUCUUGACGCCGGCGGGAACGGUCCUACUAUGUCAAUUCCCCACCUUGUGAAUGGCACCGGUGUCGUUACGGCCUUCAUCAUGGUGGACGGCCGUCUCUGGACAUUCGAAUGCCUCUGGCAAACGUCGCAUCGACCAACAAUUUCCUCUGAGUCUUUUAUUGACUCGGGCCAGUAAUACCCUUGCCUGGCUACUUGCCUCUCCAGCGCUCUGCCGCCCUGGUGCGCUCCGCUUGCCCCCUCGUGCAGGCUUCGUGCGAUGGCCCUCCCCUCCUCACGUGGGACGCAUAGUCGCAGGGGGACCUCCUCUGCUGCCGACCGUCGGUAUAGCUUAUCCUGAGCCACUACAAACCAGGCCGCCCUGUUCCUUAGCUUCCUGGCCUCCAUUGGGUCUGAUGGCGCUUCGCCUGUCAAGAUGAACCUUGUGAUCGGCGUUCUCCAGUCCCCCGAAGUUAUUACUCCGCACGCUCUGGCUGGCCCGCGGUCGGCGGUCGGCGUCGGACGUUCUUGGUUUUCGAUCCGGAUCCACCUUCCCUCCUUUUUUCCCGGGGACGCCCCUAGUUUGGCCAAUGUGUCGGCCUCCCCAUUGUGUUCUCUCCCUAUUUGAGAGAUCCUCCAUUCUUUGAGCUUGCCCAAGGCCGUUCUUGUCUCGGUCACAUAGCUUGCCAUAGAGUCUUCCUUGGAUACAAAGUCCCCCCUGACUUGGUUGGCUACGAGCCGGGAGUCCGUGUGGAAGUGUACCUUGGACGCGCCUAGUGCGCGAGUUAGCCGGAUCCCCGAAAGGAGGGCUUCGUAUUCCGCUGCAUUGUUAGUCGCCCGGAAUUCGAAGUGGAUCGAGUACUCGAUUUUUUCCCCUGUCGGGGACGUGACCACGACCCCCGCGCCGCAUCCGCUAUUGCUGGACGACCCGUCCACGUGGGCCGUCCACCACUGCUCGUCUGCCUCCACCACUCCUCUCGGGGCUAACUCGGCCAUGAAGUCUGCCACCGCCUGCCCCUUGAUUGCCCUUGCUGGCACGAUGACUAGGUGAAACUCGCUGAGUUCCAUGGCCCACUUGGUUAGUCUUCCUGAGACGUCCGGCUUCUGCAGGAGCUGCAGUAGUGGGUAAGCCGUUGGGAUCGUGACCGUGUGGGCGUGAAAGUACGGUUUCAGCCUUCGGACCGCCGAGACUACCGCCAGGGCUAGCUUCUCGAUUUCCGGGUAUCUCUCUUCCGCCCCUAUCAACGAACGGGAAUGGUAGUACACUGGCCUCUGUGUGCCUCCCGCUUCCGAGAUGAGGACCGCGCUGACGGCCGCCUCCGAGCACGCUACGUACAUGGUGAGUGGCUCUCCUCUUGUUGGUGGUCGGAGCGUUGGCAGGCUCGAAAGCUGGCGCUUGAGUUCCUUGAACGCCCUCUCGCACUCGUCUGACCAUACCACCCUGGGUCCCGGGUUCCUUAACAGCUGGAAGAAAGGCUUCAAACGAUCUGCCGUCCUUGGCAGAAAUCUGCUCAGGGCCGCCACCCUCCCGUUUAGCUUCUGGACCUCCUUCAGCGUCCGCGGGGGGUUCAUGGCCGUUACGGCCUCCACCUUCUCUUCCCUUGGCUUGAUUCCUUCGGGCGUGAUUCGGAAACCGAGGAAAUGCCCCUCCUUGACUCCGAACGCGCACUUUUUCGCUUUUAGCUUGAGUCCCGCGCUACGGAUGUUGGCGAAGGUUUCUUCUAGGUCGGCCACAUGCGUUUCGGCCUCCUUUGAUCGGACAAGUAUAUCGUCCACGUACACUUCUACGUUCCUUCCUAUCUGCGCCUUGAAUAUUUUAUCCAUUAGCCUCUGGAACGUCGCCUCGGCGUUGCGCAGGCCGAACGGCAUUACCCUGAAGCAAAACGUGCCCAUUUCUGUGAUGAACGACGUCUUCUCCUCGUCCUCUCGUGCCAUGGACACCUGAUUGUAUCCCGAGUGCGCGUCCAUGAAACUCAGCAUCCCGCACCCGGAACUCUGGUCUACCAACCGGUCCACCGACGGCAGUGGGUAGCUGUCCUUGGGGCAAGUUUUGUUCAAGUUGGUAAAGUCGACGCACAUCCUCCACCCCGAAUCUGCCUUUCUUACCAUCACCACGUUGGACAACCAGGCGGGGUAGCGUACCGGACGAAUGAAUCCCGCUUGGAGGAGCUUCCUGACCUCCGUCUCGGCCGCCUCCCUCUUUUCCGCCCUUAGCGGGCGUAAUUUCUGCCUGACGGGGUGGGCGUCCGGGGCUACUGCUAGUCUGUGCUCCGCCAGCGCCCUUGGCACGCCGUCCAACUCCCCCAACUCGCCGGCGAACAGGUCUUCGUUCUUCCUCAGGAGUUGUUCUAGACCUUCCCUGAUGUUCUGUGGGAGGUCCUUUCCCAUUCGCACUUCGCCCCGCCCGAGGGGCGCUUGAAUCGUGUGAGACGCCGGUUCGGGUCUUGCUGUGCGUUCCCGCAUCGAGUGGGGUAGGCCCUCGUUCGACGUCAUUACUUCACCGACCGAAUUGAAGUAGCACUCGCGCGCCUUUUUCUGGGAGCCUCGGACUGUGCACACUCCUGCCUCGGUUGGGAACUUGAGGCACUGGUGGAGUGAUGACAUUACCGCCUGGAAGGCGUGCAACGCUGUCCUUCCCAAGAUGGCGUUGUAUCCUGAUGUGAAGUUGACGACCGUAAACACGACCUCGACUGUCUUGGCCUGGGCGUGCCGUCCCAGGGUGACUGGGAGGGUGAAUGUUCCCGCCACCGGGACCUCCGACUGACCGAAUCCCCUGAUGGGGGCCCGGCACGGGAGUAGGUCUGCUCGGGCCAAACCGAGGUCGACGAAGGCGUUCCAGUACAAUAUGUCCACCGACGCUCCCAUGUCGACCAGCACCCUGUGUAAUCGCACGCUGGACUUGUCUCCCCUUUGGAAGAUGGGGGUUAUGACCAGGGGGUCGUCGUGGGGCGUGGUAAUGUCCUUCAUGUCGUCCUCCGUGAACGAGAUGUCCAGGUUUAUUCGCGGACGCUUGGCCCCUGCUGCCCGAUCCACGUCAGACGCGUACCGCCGGCCCUCCCACGGGUCGUCGCCUCUCGAGGCGCCGCCGCCCGCGAUGGUGAGGAUGUCCCCUAUAGUCUCGUCCGCUGGUUCCUGCUUCGGCGCCUGGUGUCCCGUGGGGAUCGUCGCCGGGCGGUUUGCCGUCGGGGCCUGGGGGGCUCCGUUCGCGGGCUUCAUUUUGCUGAGGACCUUCGCGAGGUUCAAGCAUUCGGCCGUUGUGUGGCCAUUGUCCUCAUGGUGUUCGCAAAACCGACGGGUGUCCCUGAACGCCGCCGUGUCUUUCCUCAUUGGCCUCGGCAGGGGUAGGGUUCCUGUUCCGUAUAACGUUAGGAAAACCUGUCUCUGGUUUGCCGCCGGGGCGGGGCCUGCCUCCUUCCGUCCCGCUGCCGCCGGGGUGCCGGUUCUGUACACUGGCGCCUGCGGCGCCGCUGGGGGCUUGGCCUGCGUUUGUUGGGGUUGGCUCUGCUGCUGCCCACCCCCAGCGCCCACGUGGGCGCCCUUCCCCCUUUGCUGCCGCCUGCAUUCCUGGAUCUUCGCGCCCAGGUAAUCCUCCACGUUGCUCUCCCCAUGGGACCUUUCCAUGGCCUCGGCGAAGGUUUUUGGUGGCUUUCUCACUAAGUCCCCCGCGAAGAACGUGGGCCGGAGGCUGUUCGUUAGGGCGUACAGUACCACCUCCUCCGAGAUCCCCUCAAUCUUCUGCACCUCGCUCGCAAACCGGUCCAUGUACGUGCGCGUGCUCUCUGAUUCUCCCUGUACGACCGUGCUGAGGGCGGCCUUGAUUUUCGGCCUCCUCCGACGGUGUGCGAACGCCGCUCGGAAUACCUCCACUAAGCCUUCGUAGGUGUGCACGGACCCUGUUGGCAACGUCCUGUACCACGCAAUUGCGUCGCCCGUAAGGGCCCUUCGGAACAUUCGACACCAGAUGUCCCUCCUAUUCGUCCUGUCCUCCAUGUUGGUCUUGAAAGAGUGCAGGUGGUCCUCCGGGUCAGUAUCGCCCUUGUAGUAGGGGAUCUUCGGGGCUCUCCAGCCCGGUGGGUAUUCUUCGUCCAGUAGGUGCUGUGCCAGGGCCUCCCCACUGCCACCCCCCGACGUCGUCGCCACAAUUGUUCGCGGGGCCUCCGCGGGUGGGGCGUCGCUGCCGAGUCUACACUCCGGGGGGGCGGGCGGCCCGUACAUGGGAUCCCCUCCCCCGCCCCCGUCCGACUCCAGGGUAUGCGGGGUCACUGUGAGCUGAUGGACUUGCUCUUGCAGUUGACGCUGGCUCUCCUGCAGGUUGGAUAUUAGCUCCACGAGCUGCAUCCUCUCUCGUUUGCUCUCUUUCUCCGCGCGAUCCCUCUCCUCCGCGCGCUCUCUUCGUCGGAGCUUCUCGCGCUCCUUCUCCCUUCUCUCCCGGGAUCGCGACCGAGACCGCGUUCUCCUGGCCCUCGGUGGAGAUGCCGCCCCUUUGUGUCGGCGCCUCUCGGGUGACUCCCAACCGUACCUGAUCUCCUCAAUCUCCAUACGCAGUCUAUCCUCGUCGUCCCAUCCCUCGUUGGCUCUUACUUCCUCCGAGUACCGGUCCCGGGAGUGACGUCGCUCCGGCCGAUACUCCUCCGGCUCCCGCUCGGGUCGCUUAGAGCUCUCCCCCACCUGGUAACCGCUCUUCGUCAUCCUUUUCUCUCCGGCUGCCAUGUACUUCGUUCACGUCAGGUUCACCACUGUUGGUGUGUGUGCUCGCCGGUGUAAGCCCACAUCCUCAUCUCUCAAGUGUUCAGCUCUCUCAGAAUUGUCAACCCCCUCCCCAGUUGGACCAGGGGAGGUAUUUAUAGCCUUCACUUGUUGUCAUUGGGCCUCGUGGGUUCGUACGGUCGGGCCCGUCCGUCCGUCCGUUCGUCCGCCCGCCCAUCCGUCCGUCUGGGCCGACUGGUCCGGUUCGGUCCAUGGGCCGCGGUCCGCGGUCCAUGGUACCAACAGUUUCCUCAAAAAACCAAAUUGCUGAUUUAUUUACAUAAUCACUCUCUCUGGACAAAUUUCGAGUUCUUAGAAACAAGCUUCCACUUUGUACGAUGAAAGCAUCAUCUUAUGGGGGAAUGCUUUAUUUAUUGAUAUGUAACCAUAGUAGUGAGUCACUACUAUGGAAUAUCCACCAUGAGAUCGAGUACAAAUCUCGAAGCUUUACUGUUUCUGCUCACUCCUACCAGAACAAGGUUAGUUCAAAUCACCCCUUUUUUUGUUUAUUUAAAUUUUUUCCUUUCAAUUUUUGUUAAACCUUAGAUCCUUUAGCCGAAGCUUUCUUUCAAACCAUUAACAAUGAUUUUUGUUUGUCUUUCACAGAUCGUCGGAAUCAUCAAGUUCGUCGAAAUAAUGAAACAAACAAAUACCUGGUCCGUAGGGAGAAGUGAAGAAGAUAUUUCCAGCAAGGCAGCAACGUAGGGAGAAGUGGAGAAGAGAUUUCCAGCAAGUAGCAACGUAGGGAGAAGUGGAGAAGAGAUUUCCAGCAAGGCAGCAACAACAGUGAAGAAUGUAAGAAGAGAUUCCCGAAGUCCGAGGCCGGAGAAGAUGGAUUUGGGGGAGAACAGGGGAGAAGGGGUUUACGUUUUUGGGGGGAUAGGAGGAUUUAGGGAAAUAGGAGGGAAUACAAAAUUUAUUUGGG